CACGUAGGCACCAAGCGUUGUCCGGAUUUAUUGGGCGUAAAGAGCUUGUAGGCGGUUUGUCGCGUCUGCUGUGAAAAUCCGGGGCUCAACCCCGGACUUGCAGUGGGUACGGGCAGACUAGAGUGUGGUAGGGGAGACUGGAAUUCCUGGUGUAGCGGUGAAAUGCGCAGAUAUCAGGAGGAACACCGAUGGCGAAGGCAGGUCUCUGGGCCACUACUGACGCUGAGAAGCGAAAGCGUGGGGAGCGAACAGG
rnacentral:rRNA from 1 species